rnacentral:rRNA from 1 species
UUUAAGGUCUAAUCUGCCCUAUGAGGAUUUAAAUGGCCGCGGUAUUUUGACCGUGCAAAGGUAGCAUAAUAAUUAGUUUUUUAAUUGAAAGCUGGAAUGAAUGAUUGGACGAGAAAAUUACUGUCUCAAAUUAAUUUAAUUAGAAUUUUAUUUUUAAGUAAAAAAGCUUAAAUUUUUUUAAAAGACGAGAAGACCCUAUAGAGUUUUAUAUAUAAUUUUAUAUUUAAAUUUUUAGAAUUAUGUUUUUGUUAUAUUUUUAUAUAUUUUAUUGGGGUGAUAGAAAAAUUAAAUUAACUUUUUUUUUAAAUUGAAACAUUAAUUUAUGAUUAAUUGAUCCAUUAUUUAUGAUUAUAAGAUUAAAUUACCUUAGGGAUAACAGCGUAAUUAUUUUUUAGAGUUCUUAUCGAAAAAAUAGAUUGCGACCUCGAUGUUGGAUUAAAAUAAACUAUUGGUGUAGGGGCUAAAUAGUUAGGUCUGUUCGACCUUUAAAAUUUUACA